GAAACGACUGCUAAGACUGGAUAGGAGAUAAGAAGGCAUCUUUUUAUUUUUAAAGACCUAGCAAUAGGUAUGCUUAGGGAAGAGCUUGCGUCACAUUAGUUAGUUGGUGGGGUAAUGGCCUACCAAGACGAUGAUGUGUAGCCGGGCUGAGAGGUCGAACGGCCACAUUGGGACUGAGACACGGCCCAAACUCCUACGGGAGGCAGCAGUAAGGAAUUUUCGGCAAUGGAGGAAACUCUGACCGAGCAAUGCCGCGUGAACGAUGAAGUAUUUCGGUACGUAAAGUUCUUUUAUUAGGGAAGAAAAGAUGGUGGAAAAACCAUUAUGACGGUACCUAAUGAAUAAGCCCCGGCUAACUAUGUGCCAGCAGCCGCGGUAAUACAUAGGGGGCAAGCGUUAUCCGGAAUUAUUGGGCGUAAAGGGUGCGUAGGCGGUUAAAUAAGUUUAUGGUCUAAGUGCAACGCUCAACGUUGUGAUGCUAUAAAAACUGUUUAGCUAGAGUUGGAUAGAGGCAAGUGGAAUUCCGUGUGUAGUGGUAAAAUGCGUAAAUAUACGGAGGAACACCAGAAGCGAAGGCGGCUUGCUGGGUCUUAACUGACGCUGAGGCACGAAAGCGUGGGGAGCAAACAGGAUUAGAUACCCUGGUAGUCCACGCCCUAAACGAUGAGUACUAAACGUUGGAUAAAACCAGUGUUGAAGUUAACACAUUAAGUACUCCGCCUGAGUAGUACGUACGCAAGUAUGAAACUUAAAGGAAUUGACGGGACUCCGCACAAGCGGUGGAUCAUGUUGUUUAAUUCGAAGGUACCCGAAAAACCUCACCAGGUCUUGACAUGCUUUUGCAAAGCUGUAGAAAUACAGUGGAGGUUAUCAGAAGCACAGGUGGUGCAUGGUUGUCGUCAGCUCGUGUCGUGAGAUGUUGGGUUAAGUCCCGCAACGAGCGCAACCCUUGUUGUUAAUUGCCAUCAUUAAGUUGGGGACUUUAGCAAGACUGCCAAUGAUAAAUUGGAGGAAGGUGGGGACGACGUCAAAUCAUCAUGCCCCUUAUGACCUGGGCUACAAACGUGAUACAAUGGCUGUUACAAAGGGUAGCUAAAGCGUAAGCUUCUGGCGAAUCUCAAAAAAGCAGUCUCAGUUCGGAUUGAAGUCUGCAACUCGACUUCAUGAAGUUGGAAUCGCUAGUAAUCGCGAAUCAGCAUGUCGCGGUGAAUACGUUCUCGGGGUUUGUACACACCGCCCGUCA
rnacentral:rRNA from 1 species